rnacentral:rRNA from 1 species
GAUGAACGCUGGCGGCGUGCCUAAUACAUGCAAGUCGAGCGAACAGACGAGGAGCUUGCUCCUCUGACGUUAGCGGCGGACGGGUGAGUAACACGUGGACAACCUACCUAUAAGACUGGGAUAACUUCGGGAAACCGGAGCUAAUACCGGAUAAUAUAUUGAACCGCAUGGUUCAAUAGUGAAAGACGGUUUUGCUGUCACUUAUAGAUGGAUCCGCGCCGCAUUAGCUAGUUGGUAAGGUAACGGCUUACCAAGGCGACGAUGCGUAGCCGACCUGAGAGGGUGAUCGGCCACACUGGAACUGAGACACGGUCCAGACUCCUACGGGAGGCAGCAGUAGGGAAUCUUCCGCAAUGGGCGAAAGCCUGACGGAGCAACGCCGCGUGAGUGAUGAAGGUCUUCGGAUCGCAAAACUCUGUUAUUAGGGAAGAACAAAUGUGUAAGUAACUAUGCACGUCUUGACGGUACCUAAUCAGAAAGCCACGGCUAACUACGUG